UACGGAGGGUGCAAGCGUUAUCCGGAUUCACUGGGUUUAAAGGGUGCGUAGGCGGGCAGUUAAGUCAGUGGUGAAAUCCUAGAGCUCAACUCUAGAACUGCCAUUGAUACUAUCUGUCUUGAAUAUUGUGGAGGUAAGCGGAAUAUGUCAUGUAGCGGUGAAAUGCUUAGAUAUGACAUAGAACACCUAUUGCGAAGGCAGCUUACUACGCAUAUAUUGACGCUGAGGCACGAAAGCGUGGGGAUCAAACAGG
rnacentral:rRNA from 1 species